ACGAACGCUGGCGGCGUGCUUAACACAUGCAAGUCGAACGGAAAGGCCCUGCUUGCAGGGUACUCGAGUGGCGAACGGGUGAGUAACACGUGGGUGAUCUGCCCUGCACUUCGGGAUAAGCCUGGGAAACUGGGUCUAAUACCGGAUAGGAGCCAUUUUUAGUGUGAUGGUUGGAAAGUUUUUUCGGUGUAGGAUGAGCUCGCGGCCUAUCAGCUUGUUGGUGGGGUAAUGGCCUACCAAGGCGGCGACGGGUAGCCGGCCUGAGAGGGUGGACGGCCACAUUGGGACUGAGAUACGGCCCAGACUCCUACGGGAGGCAGCAGUGGGGAAUAUUGCACAAGGGGCGCAAGCCUGAUGCAGCGACGCCGCGUGGGGGAUGACGGCCUUCGGGUUGUAAACUCCUUUCGCUAGGGACGAAGCUUUUUGUGACGGUACCUAGAUAAGAAGCACCGGCUAACUACGUG
rnacentral:rRNA from 1 species